GAGAAGAAUUACCGAAUCAGAGCGGUACGCCGGCUGGUUUGCCCCCUUUCCCGAACCCUUCUUCUCCGCCUCCGUUCCGCUCACCGCCUCGUGACCUUUUUCCUAACCCCCCGCCGCAGCCUGCCACCCCUCCUGAUUCCCGGCUUUCCGCCCAUCACCUCCUCCUCCUCCUCCUCUCAUUCCUGUCCCUCUAUCGAGCUAGGUCCCAUAGUCGUCCUCCGGCGGAGGCCGGCUCCUUUAAUCCUGGAUGCGACUGCGGCGAUCCGGAGCAGCUCAGGGUCGCACCGCCCGAGCCUGCCCUUCUCGCGUUGCCCCGGGACGCGGCAUUCGCGGGCCAACUGCACCACGCCGGCGGGCGCUCGCAUGCCUCCGGUGCGGCCCAGCCGGGGCAUCUCCAGACGCAGUGCUCGACCGCUCGAGCGACCUGUUCCGUGGUUGGAGAGGCCCCGAUGUAUGCCGCGAGCCUGGACACGUACCAUGUACUUGCUAUGAGCCUCAUACCUUCCACGAGUGACUGUCCAGGGACCAUUGUGUCUGUAGGAUAAUCAAAUGAUUGCCAAACUGUUGCAUUCCUCCGAUCAAACAGAACCAGAUUGCCAAUCUCGGUGAUCACCAUGCCAUCUACAGACCGGCCCGAGCUGUUGCUUGACCAGACAUGGCUACCAUCAGCAUCACGAAGGACCAAAUUUCCAUCUGAGGAAAACUCAAGGGUGGCCUUCUCCCUGACAGGGCGAUUCCGGUUGGCAGACCAGAGCACCUGCGGACUAUCCGCCACCCUUGUGCUAUUGUCGACUACAUGGACAAGGAAGACGGCAAAGAGGUAUACAUCGCAUGUGUCAGAGACACAUAAGCUUAAGAACCCUGCGGUAAUAGCAGGUUUAAAUCCAGAGGAAGCUUGUGGCUGUGGAUAACAGGUGAGGACGGGGACCUGGUCCAAAUAGUAACCGUAGGAGUGAGCGGUGUUGAUCCAAACUGUCGAAGGUUUUGCUGUGCGAUGGAUCAGCAGCUGCGCCACUGAGAGCUGUGUUGCGGUUGCAAGUAGGAGGAAUAAGAGAUUGGCAGGACCCAUGGCGAUUGAAUGGAAACAGAGUCUGUAACAAAGAAUAAUCAUAACCAAGAAUAAUCAGCUAACUCUUUGCUUAUGGGAAUCGAGUAAGAAGUUGGGGAUGAGCUAACAGAGUAGAAACAAGAUGACAUGGCCAUACUUGAUGAUACUGAACCGACGGAAGAUAUGAUCGCUACCGGGAAGAUGGCCUCGCGGGCGUGGUGUGCCCGGUCUCGAAGGAGCUAAGUUUUGGGGCUUUCGGAGAUGGAUUGGUCUAUUCCGAAGCGUCACUGACUGGUUAGCUGUGCUGGUUCAUAAUUUCCAUGCUAAAGUGCUGACGUGGAGACUGGCUGGACUAACGAGCAUCCGUGGACCGUGGGCUUUUCAUGUGGUCGGCCGCUCCGUUUGACAGGAAAGAGUGUGCUCAGUCAACAAAGGUACUGCUAGCUGAGUGCUGCGUUCAAACUUGCCGUGUUACGUUUGGCAUCAGUUGCCUUUUGGAAACUCCGUGUGUUAGCAAAAUGAUCCAAAUUGAGUUACACAUGAGUAGACUCGGUGCAUUUGUCGUCUGCAAUCUUUGCUUCUCGUUGAAUUAGCUACUAUUCAUAGUUGUGUUUGUCCUUUUCUUGGUUAUUGAACUCUAUCGAUUUUGAAAUGGUUUUUCUUU